CAACUGAUCAUUUGCAUUUGUCUCGGUUGUUGGGGAUCCGUCUGAUCUAUAUAGCGAGAUAGAGAGAGGAUGAGGAGUUCCCAUGAUCGAGCGGGGAGUAGCUAUCAUGGAUUUUUUACAUAUUAAGUUCUAGGGAUGUCUAAAGUGGAAAUAAAUGCUCAGAACUUGAAAUCAGACACAUGUAUUAUGAGUGAAUCUUGCUUUUUGUAUCAUGUUUUUGUGGCUGCAGGAAUACCAAAUUCAAAUUGCAAAAGUCAAGAAGAAGGUUAGAUAGGCAGAGUUGUGCUCAUCUGAGGAAGAGGCUGUUGCUUGGGGUAUGUUUUCAAUCCAAGGUUAACGAGCAGUCAUCUUUUGCAUUUUGGAGGUUUGUGUGGAUGUGUGUGAUUUGAUGAAUGUGGAGGCUGCGGAUUGUUGUGUACAACUGAGAUGAGAUCAGUCUAUUGUCUUCAAUUCGAGAAAAUUGUGUGAUUUUUGAGUUUGAUGUAAACCUCACAAGUUUUUAUAACAAAACCUUA